rnacentral:siRNA from 1 species
CCGAAAAGGUAUCACAUGCCAAGU